rnacentral:lncRNA from 1 species
CAAAAUACAAAAAUGCUAAAAUGUAAACCUAUACUAAUCCUAGACUACGCUCCACCCGGUGCCUCAGCUCUUGAUCACAAACGUCCUUUCGGUACAAAAUACCUCGGGGCAUCCCCUGAUGAAUGAUACAAAUGGCUUCAGGGAAUUCCCGGCUAAAUGAAUACAAUUGAUUCAAAUGCUGUAAAUAAAACCAUUCAACACAUAUCCAAACAUUCCAACAAUCCACAAGUUCUAAAUUUGCCUACCGAGCCUACUGUUUACCUAUCAUAUCACAAUUCUAUCAUGCUCUACAUCAUCAAUGUAUAAAAAUUAAUGAAAAUUCAUUUUUAUCAAUCCCUAACAUCCGACCCUAAAUCAAUGAUUUUUAUAUUCUAUCCAUUAGCCAAUAAAUUUCACCUAAUUCAACGUAUACAUCAAUUCGAACAACUAAUUCAACAACAUCAAACUAGAUAUUCAAUCAGCUAAACUAACAUCAAACACCACGUAAUUCACUGACAUAUUUGGAAAAUCAAAAUGAGCUAUUGAGAUAAGAGUAAAACUGGGACCUCAAUCGAGCUUUAAGUAUGCAGAAUACAGAUCGAAACAUGGAGCUUCACCACCGGACCUCGACUGAAGAACCUCAACGAUGAACAACAACUCGUCAAACUUCGAUCGGACCUCCAUUCGAAUCAAUAGCCAAAACAGAAACCAAAUUGACCUUUUCCGGUGUAAUAUUCUACGUGCGUGUGCGAUUUAUGCCUCAAUCUUGGUGAAGAAGAUAACCCCUAUAUUUUAGUGAAUACCCAUCUCCCUUUUCGACUCUCUCUCUCGUCUCUCUGAUUUCAGUCCCUCUCUCUUUCGAUCUUUCCCUCUCACUGGUCAGUAUCUAUGGCGGUGUAUAUAUGUGGUCAUCUAUGAUAAGGGUUAGUAUUGUGAUAUUAAUAGAAGAAGAUGGUAGUGUGUGUAUUAUGAAGAAGAACCAAUUCCUAGGAAUUUUUGUUUUCUCUGUAUAUUCAAAAAAAAUGAGAGCUUCUCUGGGUUUUUUUUUUGCGUAUAUGGUGACUGGUCUCUGAGGAAGAUGACUUCUGACGGUCUUUUUUCUUUUGGUGAUGGUGAUAUAUGGGGAGUAUAUGCUAGUGAGAUCCAAUCAAUG